rnacentral:rRNA from 1 species
UAGUGAACCAGUACCGUGAGGGAAAGGCGAAAAGAACCCCGGCGAGGGGAGUGAAAAAGAACCUGAAACCGUGUACGUACAAGCAGUGGGAGCACAGGUUUACCUGUGUGACUGCGUACCUUUUGUAUAAUGGGUCAGCGACUUAUAUUCUGUAGCAAGGUUAACCGCAUAGGGGAGCCGGAGGGAAACCGAGUCUUAAUUGGGCGUUAAGUUGCAGGGUAUAGACCCGAAACCCGGUGAUCUAGCCAUGGGCAGGUUGAAGGUUGGGUAACACUAACUGGAGGACCGAACCGACUAAUGUUGAAAAAUUAGCGGAUGACCUGUGGCUGGGGGUGAAAGGCCAAUCAAACCGGGAGAUAGCUGGUUCUCCCCGAAAGCUAUUUAGGUAGCGCCUCGUGAAUUCAUCUCCGGGGGUAGAGCACUGUUUCGGCUAGGGGGCCAUCCCGGCUUACCAACCCGAUGCAAACUGCGAAUACCGGAGAAUGUUAUCACGGGAGACACACGGCGGGUGCUAACGUCCGUCGUGAAGAGGGAAACAACCCAGACCGCCAGCUAAGGUCCCAAAGUCAUGGUUAAGUGGGAAACGAUGUGGGAAGGCCCAGACAGCCAGGAUGUUGGCUUAGAAGCAGCCAUCAUUUAAAGAAAGCGUAAUAGCUCACUGGUCGAGUCGGCCUGCGCGGAAGAUGUAACGGGGCUAAACCAUGCACCGAAGCUGCGGCAGCGACACUGUGUGUUGUUGGGUAGGGGAGCGUUCUGUAAGCCUGUGAAGGUGGCCUGUGAGGGUUGCUGGAGGUAUCAGAAGUGCGAAUGCUGACAUAAGUAACGAUAAAGCGGGUGAAAAGCCCGCUCGCCGGAAGACCAAGGGUUCCUGUCCAACGUUAAUCGGGGCAGGGUGAGUCGACCCCUAAGGCGAGGCCGAAAGGCGUAGUCGAUGGGAAACGGGUUAAUAUUCCCGUACUUGGUGUUACUGCGAAGGGGGGACGGAGAAGGCUAUGUUGGCCGGGCGACGGUUGUCCCGGUUUAAGCGUGUAGGUGUGUGUUCCAGGUAAAUCCGGUUCACUUUAACACUGAGGCGUGACGACGAGGCACUACGGUGCUGAAGCAACAAAUGCCCUGCUUCCAGGAAAAGCCUCUAAGCAUCAGGUAACAUCAAAUCGUACCCCAAACCGACACAGGUGGUCAGGUAGAGAAUACCAAGGCGCUUGAGAGAACUCGGGUGAAGGAACUAGGCAAAAUGGUGCCGUAACUUCGGGAGAAGGCACGCUGACACGUAGGUGAAGUGAUUUACUCAUGGAGCUGAAGUCAGUCGAAGAUACCAGCUGGCUGCAACUGUUUAUUAAAAACACAGCACUGUGCAAACAUGAAAGUGGACGUAUACGGUGUGACGCCUGCCCGGUGCCGGAAGGUUAAUUGAUGGGGUCAGCGCAAGCGAAGCUCCUGAUCGAAGCCCCGGUAAACGGCGGCCGUAACUAUAACGGUCCUAAGGUAGCGAAAUUCCUUGUCGGGUAAGUUCCGACCUGCACGAAUGGCGUAAUGAUGGCCAGGCUGUCUCCACCCGAGACUCAGUGAAAUUGAACUCGCUGUGAAGAUGCAGUGUACCCGCGGCAAGACGGAAAGACCCCGUGAACCUUUACUAUAGCUUGACACUGAACAUUGAGCCUUGAUGUGUAGGAUAGGUGGGAGGCUUUGAAGUGUGGACGCCAGUCUGCAUGGAGCCGACCUUGAAAUACCACCCUUUAAUGUUUGAUGUUCUAACGUGGACCCGUAAUCCGGGUUGCGGACAGUGUCUGGUGGGUAGUUUGACUGGGGCGGUCUCCUCCUAAAGAGUAACGGAGGAGCACGAAGGUUGGCUAAUCCUGGUCGGACAUCAGGAGGUUAGUGCAAUGGCAUAAGCCAGCUUGACUGCGAGCGUGACGGCGCGAGCAGGUGCGAAAGCAGGUCAUAGUGAUCCGGUGGUUCUGAAUGGAAGGGCCAUCGCUCAACGGAUAAAAGGUACUCCGGGGAUAACAGGCUGAUACCGCCCAAGAGUUCAUAUCGACGGCGGUGUUUGGCACCUCGAUGUCGGCUCAUCACAUCCUGGGGCUGAAGUAGGUCCCAAGGGUAUGGCUGUUCGCCAUUUAAAGUGGUACGCGAGCUGGGUUUAGAACGUCGUGAGACAGUUCGGUCCCUAUCUGCCGUGGGCGCUGGAGAACUGAGGGGGGCUGCUCCUAGUACGAGAGGACCGGAGUGGACGCAUCACUGGUGUUCGGGUUGUCAUGCCAAUGGCACUGCCCGGUAGCUAAAUGCGGAAGAGAUAAGUGCUGAAAGCAUCUAAGCACGAAACUUGCCCCGAGAUGAGUUCUCCCUGAGACUUAGAGUCUCCUGAAGGAACGUUGAA